rnacentral:rRNA from 1 species
AUGAGCCAUCAGCUUAGUGAGGUCAAAAAAAUUCUUGCUGGCAUUAACACAUCGGCUGGUCCAGAUAAGAUUGUGUGGGGCACUGGACCCAACGACAAAUAUACCACUAAAUCCAUGUACUCUUACCUGGAGAGAGAUCUUGCUAGUUGUGACUUUAGAUGGAUUUGGAGAGCUAGAUUACCUACCAAAAUCCAGAUUUUCCUUUGGCAACUCUUUCAGGAUGCCGUUCUGACUAGGGACGUUAUGAGGCGUCGGAACUGGGCUGGCAACCCCAGGUGUUCUUUCUGUGAUUGCAGAGAAACCUAUUUACAUCUGUUUUUUCGAUGCCCAGUGGCAAGGAUUGCCUGGCGCACGGUUGGGGCGGUGUUUGGGACCGAUUUAUGUCCCAAUAACCUAUGUCAAUUUUACUCUUGGUGCUAUGCGUUUAUUCCUCAAGGGGAAUGGUGCUUCACUAUGGGGCUGGCGGCUGUAUGUUGGGCCAUUUGGAAUCGUAGAAACCAGGCUACUUUUGAAUUUAAGAAAAUGUCAUCUCCUUUUGAGAUUGUUUUCAACGCUUGUAUGCACCUAUCUUAUUGGGCAGGUCUCCUGAAGGGCGAAAGACGAGUGGAACUGGAGCGUGGUGCGAUGAUUCUGAAGGAGAAUGCUAAAGAGAUGAUGAGAAUCUGCGCGACUGCACACACGGGCGAGACCGUGGAGUGA